GGGAUACCCGGACGAAAGUUCGGCUAAUACCGGGAUAACAACGGAGAUGGCAUCUUCUCCGCUUGAAAGGUGCGUUUGCACCACUCUUAGAUGGACCUGCGGCACAUUAGCUAGUUGGUGAGAUAAUAGCCCACCAAGGCGAGGAUGUGUAGCCGACCUGAGAGGGUGACCGGCCACAAUGGGACUGAGACACGGCCCAUACUCCUACGGGAGGCAGCAGUAGGGAGUUUCGGCAAUGGGCGAAAGCCUGACCGAGCGAACGCCGCGUGAGUGAUAGAAGGUCUUCGGAUUGUAAAGCUCUGUUACGAGGGACGAAACGUACGAUCAGGAAAUGGGUCGUAUUUGACUAUACCUCGCCAGAAAGUGACGGCUAACUACGUGCCAGCAGCCGC
rnacentral:rRNA from 1 species